AUCAAAAGAGAAAGACUUAAACCUUCAUCCCCGGCCCCCAAAACCGGAAUCUUCAUUAAACUACCUUUUGA
rnacentral:tRNA from 2 species